rnacentral:rRNA from 1 species
CCUACGUGUGGCAGCAGUGGGGGAUAUUGCACAAUGGGGGGAACCCUGAUGCAGCGACGCCGCGUGGGUGAAGAAGCGCCUCGGCGCGUAAAGCCCUGUCAGCAGGGAAGAAAAUGACGGUACCUGAAGAAGAAGCCACGGCUAACUACGUGCCAGCAGCCGCGGGCAUACGUAGGGGGCAAGCGUUAUCCGGAUUUACUGGGGGUAACGGGAGCGCAGGUGGCACGGCAAGUCUGAUGUGAAAGCGCUCGGCCCAACCGCGGGACUGCAUUGGGAACUACCGGGCUGGAGUGCCGGAGAGGUAGGCGGAAUUCCUAGUGUAGCGGUGAAAUGCGUAGAUAUUAGGAGGAACACCAGUGGCGAAGGCGGCCUACUGGACGGUGACUGACGCUGAGGCUCGAAAGCGUGGGGAGCAAACAGGAUUAGAUACCCGGGUAGUC